rnacentral:pre_miRNA from 1 species
AACGGACGAGGAUUUCACGACGACCGUACGUUAUAUCGGGUCGGUGGGAUUUUCGUCCGAAUG